rnacentral:rRNA from 1 species
AUUGAACGCUGGCGGCAGGCUUAACACAUGCAAGUCGAGCGAGCGGCGGACGGGAGAGUAAUGUCUGGGAAACUGCCUGAUGGAGGGGGAUAUCUACUGGACACGGUAGCUAAUACCGCAUACUAUCAGAUGUGCACAGAUGGGAUUAGCUAGUAGGUGGGGUCAUGGCUCACCUUGGCGACGCUCCCUAGCUGGUCUGAGAGGAUGACCAGCCACACUGGAACUGAGACACGGUCCAGACUCCUACGGGAGGCAGCAGUGGGGAAUAUUGCACAAUGGGCGCAAGCCUGAUGCAGCCAUGCCGCGUGUGUGAAGAAGGCCUUCGGGUUGUAAAGCACUUUCAGCGAGGAGGCGUUACUCGCAGAAGAAGCACCGGCUAACUCCGGGCCAGCAGCCGCGGUAAUAC